rnacentral:rRNA from 1 species
GGACAUUACCGAGUUAUACAACUCAUCAACCCUGUGAACAUACCUAAAACGUUGCUUCGGCGGGAACAGACGGCCCUGUAACAACGGGCCGCCCCCGCCAGAGGACCCCUAACUCUGUUUUUAUAAUGUUUUUCUGAGUAAACAAGCAAAUAAAUUAAAACUUUCAACAACGGAUCUCUUGGCUCUGGCAUCGAUGAAGAACGCAGCGAAAUGCGAUAAGUAAUGUGAAUUGCAGAAUUCAGUGAAUCAUCGAAUCUUUGAACGCACAUUGCGCCCGCCAGUAUUCUGGCGGGCAUGCCUGUUCGAGCGUCAUUACAACCCUCAGGCCCCCGGGCCUGGCGUUGGGGAUCGGCAGAAGCCCCCUGUGGGCACACGCCGUCCCUCAAAUACAGUGGCGGUCCCGCCGCAGCUUCCAUUGCGUAGUAGCUAACACCUCGCAACUGGAGAGCGGCGCGGCCAUGCCGUAAAACACCCAACUUCUGAAUGUUGACCUCGAAUCAGGUAGGAAUACCCGCUGAACUUAAGCAUAUCAAUAAGCGGAGGGAAAAAAA